rnacentral:lncRNA from 1 species
CUGGGGCUUAUAUCACAGGUCAACUUCUCCCCCUGACCAAACCUGCUUCCUCCGUCUUCCACAGGUGGACACCAAAAUGACCAAUGGAUUUCUCCGGAAACCAGCAGUGGUCAAUGCCAACCCCGGUCCAGGGGGCGUGAGACAAGCCUGUGAAGAUGGUCGUUGCCGCCGGCGUGGAUCCCUCAAGCUCUCCCCAGACCCUGGGAAGUCUUGAAAACCAAGUGGCAUCUCCAGGACGAAGGUCUGGCAGCCCUGAGCAAGCCUUGGAGGAAAACGUUAGUUCUUAUUCCUUGGAGAAAAGCGUGACAUCCACCUCCAAAAUUCCAGAAGACCUUCCCGGGGGAAGGCGUCCCAGGACAGAAGGGAGGCCCUCACGGGGCCCGGGAGGAAACUCGCUGUGGUCGCUGCUUCCAGAGCCUGGCCUCUGCCUCCCAGACCUCACACAGGAGUCCGCUGGGAGACGCCCCUCGCAGAGCUGCCUGGGGGCCGCCGGCCCGAGGACGCUUCCGGCCCUGGGAGCGCUGCCCUGCGGCGGCCGUCCGGGGCUCAGCGGGAAGGCUCCGAUGGAGCGCCCAGGAGGCCCGAACCCGGCUCUCCGCCGAGGCCGCCCGCAAAAGGCCACCCCACCGAGGACACCUGGAUGGUGGUCGGAGGGGAGACAGGAUGAGGCCCUGUGGAGGUGGGGACAGCCGUGUCCCUGCCCGGGGCUCCUACAGCCUGGGCGGGGACCAUCUAGACCACCCAAACCUCAACCUGUCUCGGAGCGGGAAGGCGCGGCCCCAGGACGUCCCCCGGCAGCCCGCCCGCCUCCACGGUGGCAUCCCUGUGGCGCAGAGCCCUGGGUCGCAGCUUCCCGGGCCAUCAGCCCGGCAGCCAGCGGUGAGCACGGAUGGCCUGCGGGGCCUGAGCCCGCUGCCCACUGGAGUGAGGGCGCUUCCCAGAGUGGCAGGGGUUCCCGCACCCGUGAGGCGGGUUAUCUGGAGCAGGGUGGUUCUCCUUGGCUACAGGGUCGGCCCUGAGGAACAGGCCUUCCAGCUUAGGUUACCUCCUCUGGAAGGACAGCCUCAGAGACUGGCACCGGCUGAGAGGAGCUGCGCGUGGUGCAGUCGCUCUUCAUUCCGCCUGAGAUGAUGCCGGUGGCACUCGGUUUCCUAGGA